rnacentral:rRNA from 1 species
UACGAAGGGGGCUAGCGUUGCUCGGAAUCACUGGGCAUAAAGGGUGCGUAGGCGGCUUGUUAAGUCAGGGGUGAAAGUUUUCGGCCCAACCGGAAAAAUUGCCUUUGAUACUGGCGAGCUCGAGUGCGUGAGGGGUAACCGGAACGAGUCGUGUAGCGGUGAAAUGCGUAGAUAUGACUCGGAAGGCCAACGGCGAAGGCAGGUUACUGGUACGCAACUGACGCUGAGGCACGAAAGCGUGGGGAGCAAACAGG